UUAACAGAGACGUAAUGGAAAAGUUGUUUCAUGCCAUUGAUGAACUCGUCAAGAUCAAUAGAAUUAUCAAGAGAUGUAUCAAAAUCUUUCAUUACUUUAUCCACGGCAUCAUCCCUAUCAAAGUCAAUCUCUUCAAACCGAAUUCCUAAGAUCAGCGCUCUCAUUUCAGAAGCUGAGAGUUUUUCAUCAUUAUUCUCAUCAAUAGCAUGAAACAACUUU
rnacentral:misc_RNA from 1 species